ensembl:lncRNA
CUGGGUUUACCUUCACAGUUCCAGUGUCUUUGGCUGUUAUUGUGGGCCUAUUGGUGACCUGUGUUUCUUUGGGUAUCUGGAGAAUAAAAAGGACGGGCCAGCGACUGGAAAAUCAAGUCAUCAGAGAGACACCCAUUGAUAGUGAGGAGCCCAGGAACAUGGAUGAACAUGGAGAAGAGGUUGACUCUAACUCCUCCAGAGGUUCAACCCAGUGGUGUCAAGUUCCUGUGUAUGAAGCUUACUUUGACCAUCGGAGGGAUGGGGAGGAUGGCUGAAAAGGAUUCACAAUCAGAGAAGAAAUAUUCCAUUCUUUAUUUAGUUUUAGCCAUUUUUAUUUGAUUUAAUUAAGAUAUUUGUUUUACCUGUUCUUAAAUAAUCUGGACAAUAUGAAAUGCUUAUGCUUCUAUAUAGACGAUGCUUGGUUUAGAUGUGUUCUCCACAAAUAUGUUGUGCUUUCUGCCUAGUACUUAUUAGUGACGAUAGUACACAUUCUGUGAGCAAACUGGGAUGUUUACUUUGGCAUGCGACCAACAAAUAUGUGCUGUUUGGCCCUCUCAUUAUUAAAGGGAAUGUGUGCCUAAAAGUAAAUGUAAUGCAAGUUUUCCGUCUUUUGCACGUUACAUGACAGCUAUGUU